GACGAACGCUGGCGGCGUACUUAACACAUGCAAGUCGAACGCUGAAGCUUGAUGCUUGCACUGCGUGGAUGAGUGGCGAACAGGUGAGUAUCACGUGAGUAACCUGCCCCUGACUUCGGGAAAAACCUGGGAAACUGGGUCUAAUACCCGAUAUGACCAUCUUUCUCAUGUUGGGUGGUGGAAAGGUUUUUUCGGUUGGGGAUGGGCUCGCGGCCUAUCAGUUUGUUGGGGGGGUAAUGGCCUACCAAGCACGACUACUGAUAUCCGGUCAGAGAAGGCGACCGGCCACUCUGGCACUGACACACGGCCCACACUCCUACGGGAGGCAGCAGUGGGGAAUAGUGCACAAUGGGGGAAACCCUGAUGCCCCUACCCCGCGUGGGAGAUGACGGCCUUCGGGGUGUAAACCUCUUUCAGUUGGGAAAAAGCCAUUGGGUGACAGUACCUGCCAAAGAAGUACCGGCUAACUACGUGCCAGCAGCCCAGGUAAAUAUUUAGGGUCCAAUCGUUUUCCGAAAUUUUUGGGCGGAAAGACAUGGCCGGUCGUUUGUCUCUUCUAGUGGGGGAUUAAGGCCCCUAACUUUUCCCGGGCAAGUGGAUUCGGGCAGGAUUGACUACAGUAGUGGAGUCUGGAAUUCCUGGUGUAGCGGUGAAAUGCGCAGAUAUCAGGAGGAACACCGGUGGCGAAGGCGGCACUCUGGGCUGUUACUGACGCUGAGGAGCGAAAGCAUGGGGAGCGAACAGGAUUAGAUACCCUGGUAGUCCAUGCCGUAAACGUUGGGAACUAGGUGUGGGGUCCAUUCCACGGAUUCCGCGCCGUAGCUAACGCAUUAAGUUCCCCGCCUGGGGAGGUACGGCCGCAAGGCUAAAACUCAAAGGAAUUGACGGGCGCCCGCACAAGCGGCGGAGCAUGUGGAUUAAUUCGAUGCAACGCGAAGAACCUUACCCAGGCUUGACAUGCACUGGAAUCUCCUAGAGAUAGGUGCGCCCUUCGGGACCUGUGUACAGGUGGUGCAUGGUUGUCAUCAGCUUGUGUCGUGAGAUGUUGGGUUAACUCCCGCAACGAGCGCAACCCUCGUUCUAUGUUGCCAGCACGUGAUGGUGGGAACUCAUAGGAGACUGCCGGGGUCAACUCGGAGGAAGGUGGGGAUGACGUCAAAUCAUCAUUCCCCUUAUGUCUUGGGCUUCACGCAUGCUACAAUGGUCGGUACAGAGGGUGGCCAUGCCGUGAGGUGGAGCGAAUCCCUUAAAGCCGGUCUCAGUUCGGAUCGUAGUUUGCAACUUGAAUACGUGAAGUUGGAGUCGCUAGUAAUUGCAGAUCAGCAACGUUGCGGUGAAUACGUUCCCGGGCCU
rnacentral:rRNA from 1 species